AGAUUGUUUCUGCUCUCUGGAGGUUAAGGGCAAACUUGUACAUGUACAAAGGUGCUUUAUUGUGUACAUUUUAUUUUAACAGUUCAAGUUGGUUUUAGAAAAUUAUGCUGUUUAAAAUAGGGUGGUUUUUUUUUUUUUUACUAUGCAAUGUGCAGAAAUCAUCAGUAUAUUUUGAUUUGGUUUUUUUGGGGGGGAGGGGGGGCUGUUUAGGCGAUUUGUUAAUUAAUUUUCUUAGCAGUUCCUAACGCUUGAAAUCUACAUGGAAAACUUGUACAUAUCAAAUUGGUUGUAAUUUUUUUUCAUAGAAUAUUUUAAAUAUAAAUUUAAAGUAGUAUAAUUUUCAGGAAAAAAUGGACCCACCAAAUAGAUCAUGAAAUUAAAUGUAGGCUAUUUGAAGCAUUUUCUAUUAAAUUUCAUCUGUUGCCUUUGAAUUUUUUUAUGUUUGCCAUGUUCACUGUAUAAUUCAUAACAUUGUUCAGUUUGUAUGUUUUUGCAAAGUUUACUGCAGAUGGGUAUAAACUAUCAUAAAAAGAUACAAAUAUAUGAAAUCAUUAUGAAAUUCCUAACUGGGUGAACAUUUCAGUCAAGUGAUUUAAGCUAAGAUAAAAGGAUAAAAACUUUAAACAAUAAAUAUAUUGAUGGUAAAUUUCUAGAUGACUAAAUUUUGUUCACACUGCAAAAAUAUUAAUGAUGACUUGUUUCAUUAUAAUUAUGCUGUAUUGAGGUAAGAUUGUGAACACCAUUUUAUGGCAAUACAAAUUUCAUGUAUUUAUGAUGUAUACCAGUACAUGUGUAUCUAGAAAACAAUUUCUUGGAACAGUUUUGUUGAUGUCACAGUCUGUGUUAUGCAAAAAGUGCUGUAAAGAUUUGACACCUUUGAUAUUUGUCAAAAUAAGGUAUAAAAUUAAAAAUAUUAAAUACUU
rnacentral:misc_RNA from 1 species